rnacentral:lncRNA from 1 species
CCGGCCAGUUGGACUUGAGCGGUCGCCAUGGUGGUAUCGGGGACUCGGCCGGCAUCGUUAGCACAGAAGAUCCUCAGUGAUAGUUAACAAAAUGGAAAAAAAAAAUUAGCUGUGUUUUUAAGAUUCCAGUGGUGGCCAUCAACUGCUCAGGAAAGCAGCCCAGAAUCACUUCACAACAGGUUUCCAAAGGAUCAUCAUUCAUCAGCACAGAAGGGUGGGAAGGAGAAGGCUGUUCAAAUUCUGAAAGGCCAGAGCUGCAAAGGAGGUCAAAGAUGCAGUGCAGUUGGCCCACUCAGUAGAGUUUCACUAGUGGUUCUGAUUAGAGUUGCAAAGUUUUCCCAAUGGGCUGCUACCGGCACCGCCCCGCCCCACAAACAUUUUCUGGGAUACCGGCAUGCUACCACGCCUCAAGCAAAAAAAACCGCCAAAUUACCGGCAUACUAAAAAAACCUGCAUUAUUGAUUCUGGCUUACCCCUACAUGAGAUGCCACAUUUUGGCAAUUUCAGUAACCGCCCCACCCAACAGCCACCCAUUGUCCAACUUAUUACAAUUCAAUAGCCUCUUAGUGUCCAAAGUUUGAAUCAUAUGCUGAUAAUUUUUUGUGCAAAAUCAAAAAUACCGGCAUGCUACCGGCAAGACAUGCCAGAUACCACGAAAAAACCUGCGGUAGUGAAAAAUUACCGGCAUGCCGGUAGUGCGGUAGGGAAAUUUUGCAACUCUAGUUCUGAUGUGGACUGAAGAUUACACGCUGGAUUGUAUUGGCCGGUCUGGAGCAGCUGUAGUUCAUCAUUCUUGCUGAUUGUGGACGAGUAAGAGCCCGCGUUGGCCCGGAUCGGCGAUCGCUGGCCAAAGCCCACAACCAGUUUGGUGAUAGGCGUUGGCUGUGAUAUCUAGUGUCGCCUAUGUGUGAAAAGGACAAGUUGAUAACAAAACCUGUUGCGCCAUGUUAUUAACCCGCGCCCGGGUGGCCCUCAGCCAACUUGGUGGGGGGAGGGGGGGGGAGGUGUAUUCGGCCACACCAGGUUAUCUGGGAAUGUAGCAAAGCUGGAAAGACGCAGUAAAAUCAAUCUAUAGAUCGCUAUUUUUCUUCAGAAUCAUACAGGUCAUUUUUGAUCAGGUCAUCGCUGAGGUCACUGGAGUAAAUGUAAAAUGAAAAUGAUGACGUAAUUGUAAAAGUAAAAGUAAAAUGAUGACGAAUUUUGGCCCCCGAUUUUGACAACUUCACAAAUUGGUUCAUAAUUCGGGAACCAAAGAAGCUACAGCGCCGCGGAAAAGCGAAUUCGAUAGCUCUUUCGAAAAUCUUUCAGGUUCUCAGAUUUGAGCUAAGGUCAACUAGGGUUAAGCCUCCAAAGGGCAAAAACUGAACAAUCGGCUUGCUUCGGAAGUCGUCUUUUCUUUAUUUUUAUUUUUUUUUAACUGAUACCAACCUUUUAUUACGUUGAUUUUACCGGCACUGCGUUUCUCUCGUCUUCUUGGCCUAACAAGGUCAGCUUAAUAAAUUUGACCUCAGGUCAAUGUCGCAGAAAAUGCCAUUUUGCAUGUCAUUGAUUCGUUACAUUGAAAUUGAGAUUAACAUCAGUAGCGGCGGAACAUCUUCAAUUAAGGGGGCAUUGCCGACUUUUGGUCUCAUUCUUUCCAUGCAACACCCAUAGGGCUAAUGUUAAAAUGCCAAAAUCAAAGGGGGCACGGUGCCCCGGUGCCCUCGGCCUGUUCCGCCGCCUAUGAUUAUGAUGCUUUUAGCGCUCUGGCCACGUUCCAUCUAAAAUUGAUGUACAAAAAUAAACUGUUGGGAGGCGUUACAUGACCUGAGAUGACCUCAGGAGCAUACGAUAGAUCCCGAUGUUUGAGUGCUUUUGUUUCAAAAGCAGAACAUUUCGAGUUCCUCAUACUGACUGAAACUGGAGACGUCGCAAAGUUGACCUGACCCUUGUCACCACCGAUAUCAAAAUUAAAGAUAUUCAAGAUGUUGGUACUGAUUCUCUCAUGCAAUAGCUCGAGUUUCAAACUUCUACUUCAUGGUGACCUGACCUGACCUUAGGUGACAUGGGGUUACUUUUUUCACAAUUGAUGCGAAUCGAUGCAUUAUACAUAAGCUAUACUAAGUUUCGUGUCGUUUUAUCUAUGCAAGCACAAAAUUGUCAGGUGUGGCCAAAAACGCCCCCACGGCCCACCCACCACCCACCUGGGGAACGUUAAAGCAGUGAUGUAUUUUUUCGGUAUAUUCCACGAUGCAUCGAUCGGUGUACUUGAUAAUGCAUUAUUUAUUGCUGCGUGUGUACGCUUUUCCUCUGUUCAGUGUGAUCUGUGAUAGGAAAACUACGGAUAUAUCUCCACGCGCAUGACUGAAAGAGCUGGCGUGAUCUAUAAUAUUGGGUGUCUGUUUUUGUUUGGCAUUUUAUAAAUAAUGAGUCAGC